AGUCGUAACAAGGUAACCGUAGGUGAACCUGCGGUUGGAUCAUUAACAAUGGUUUUCAAACCUUUUAUCUGUGCACCCUACAGCGCGGUUUCUUCCUGAAGAAGCAGUGCUACUGUUCAUCUCUUGCCCUCUUUUCCUUGGAAAAGACUGCUUGAGAAAUUUUUAAACCAUGUAUUGUAUCGAGUCUUGAAUUUGUAUUAAAAUGAAAAACUUUUGACAACGGAUCUCUUGGCUCUC
rnacentral:misc_RNA from 1 species